AAUUUGCGAUAGAACUAGGAGUGA
rnacentral:siRNA from 1 species